rnacentral:rRNA from 1 species
UACGUAGGGUGCGAGCGUUGUCCGGAAUUACUGGGCGUAAAGAGCUCGUAGGUGGUUUGUCGCGUUGUUCGUGAAAACUCACAGCUUAACUGUGGGCGUGCGGGUGAUACGGGCAGACUGGAGUACUGCAGGGGAGACUGGAAUUCCUGGUGUAGCGGUGGAAUGCGCAGAUAUCAGGAGGAACACCGGUGGCGAAGGCGGGUCUCUGGGCAGUAACUGACGCUGAGGAGCGAAAGCGUGGGGAGCGAACAGG